UGAAAGUGUACUGAACCAAAAUCGCUCACAAAUUUCUGAAUAUGUACUGAGCAACAGUAGGAGGUUCACGACCAUAGAGAGACUGGAAAGGGGUCAUACCCGCUGAAGUUUGAAACAAAGUAUUGAACAAAAAUUCCGCCCAUGGCAGCAUAGCAACCCACUGGGAAGGCUCCUCAGCGACAUAGCAAUGCAAGUAUUUGCAAAUACAAGAUGUCCAGAAAAGCA
rnacentral:misc_RNA from 1 species